GAUGAACGCUAGCGGGAGGCCUAACACAUGCAAGCCGAGCGGUAUUGUUUCUUCGGAAAUGAGAGAGCGGCGUACGGGUGCGUAACACGUGUGCAACCUGCCUUUAUCUGGGGGAUAGCCUUUCGAAAGGAAGAUUAAUACUCCAUAAUAUAUUGAACGGCAUCGUUUAAUAUUGAAAGCUCCGGCGGAUAGAGAUGGGCACGCGCAAGAUUAGCUAGUUGGUGAGGUAACGGCUCACCAAGGCGAUGAUCUUUAGGGGGCCUGAGAGGGUGAUCCCCCACACUGGUACUGAGACACGGACCAGACUCCUACGGGAGGCAGCAGUGAGGAAGAUUGGUCAAUGGGUGCAAGCCUGAACCAGCCAUCCCGCGUGAAGGACGACUGCCCUAUGGGUUGUAAACUUCUUUUGUAUAGGGAUAAACCUACCCUCGGGAGGGUAGCUGAAGGUACUAUACGAAUAAGCACCGGCUAACUCCGUG
rnacentral:rRNA from 1 species